AAAAGAAAAAGUUAUACUUUUAGGACCACCAAAUCUUUUUCAAUACUAAAAAUUGUUGCUUUGAAAAUAUUAAAUACAAUUUACACAUUAAAAAAAACUAAUAUAUAUAUAAUUUUAAAAUGAACAAUAAAUAUAAAUAACUAAAAUCGUGUUUGUUUGUUCAUACACUAUUUUCAUUGAACUUCUGAUACGAUAAACAGAUAACUAAAAAAAAAAUUGAAUGCAUAUGUUUUUGAAUU
rnacentral:sRNA from 1 species